GCCCCACCCUGCACCGUGCCUGCGACCCUGAGUCCCAAAUCCUCCAGAGCUAGUCCCCGAAGGGAGAAAGUGGGAGGGUGAACGCACCGAGGGGCAGGGGCUCCCUCCUGAGUCAUGAGGCACCGGGAGGGGCCGGGCAGGAUCUCAAGGCCGCCGAGUCCCCCUCCCAGCCCCACCUGUCUCAGGGCUUUAUGAUCGCGAGCACCUGGCUGCCCACACCUGGGGUACAUCGUCCCUUCCAGACAACACAGCAGGUUUAGACCAAUGACCUAUAACCCUGUGUGUUAUUCACCUGCCAUGUGCGCUGGGCUGACACCAACCCUCUCACUGCCCUGCAUCUUCCAGGAGGAGAUGGAAGCGAAACAGAGAUCACCUGGGACAGAGUCACAAGGUCAAAUCAAGGACAUCAUAGGACCCCCGAGGGCCAUCGAGGACUCCAGAUGAAGAGACCGCUCUCAGAGCCGCCUGAGGAAGUCCCUCCCAGCCUCCACUCUCCACCGGGAGCAGCAAGUCUGUCCCAGAAAGAGACACCCUGAAAUUCGCUGAGCUGAUGGCUCAAAGACUACAUUUCCCAGCCUCCCUUGCAGCUAGUGGUGCCUCUGCAACUGCCUUCCAGCCAACAAUGAAAACAGAAGCGUCACAGCCAGCUUGUGGAAACUGUCCUCAACGGACACCUGGCCCACCUUUGUCCCUUCCUUUAUCCUGCUGUCUGGAAACCGGGGUAGCAGCUGGACUCCAGCUGCCAUGUUGAUCCACGAUGCCAGGACCUCACCCCAGGGAUGGUGGAGGGGGGUCAGCUGGAAGGACCUGGGUCCAAGGCCUUCCUGAAGCAAAGCCUCCACGCCAGCCCUGGUCGCCCACCCUCCAGACUUUAGCGUGAAGGCACAAUAAAUAAAAUGCCAUGUUGUUUGAGCCGCUGCCACCCUGGAUCUCUGUUAUGCCUGAACAAAUCUGAAUCCUGACCCCCUUUUCUCACUGAACCACUCUGCCGUAAAACAGCAGGUGCAACAGAGGUGAAUUUGAAAGCCAGCUCUCCUGCCCUCCAGCCA